GCAAACAUAGUUAAACGGUAUAACAUUACCUCAGCCUAGGGAAAGGUACCAGUUCAAUUCUGGUUGAUUGCA
rnacentral:tRNA from 1 species